UUUUUUUUUUUUUUUUUUUUCUCCCGGCACGGGGAGGUAGUGACGAAAAAUAACAAUACAAGACUCAUAUCUGAGGCCUUGUAAUUGGAAUGAGUACACUUUAAAUCCUUUAACAAGGAUCAAUUGGAGGGCAAGUCUGGUGCCAGCAGCAGCCGCGGUAAUUCCAGCUCCAAUAGCGUAUAUUAAAGUUGUUGCGGUUAAAACGUUCGUAGUUGAACUUGUGUUUCGCACAGGCAGUACCCACGACUAGGUCACUAGUACGGUACUUUGUCUUUUCACUUUCGGGUGGAAUAAGUGCGUGAACGUAUUAUCGGCGUGUUCAUCUUUCGGGAUGUUCACUUAAGCUCAUUUCAGUGCUCUUCAUCGAGUGUUGUUGUGGGCCGAUACAAAUUACUUUGAACAAAUUAGAGUGCUUAAAGCAGGCUUCUAAUGCCUGAAUAUUUUGUGCAUGGAAUAAUGUAAUAGGACAUCUGUUCUACUUUCAUUGGUUUUUUAGAUCAAGAUGUAAUGAUUAAUGGAGGCAAUUGGGGGCAUUAGUAUUACAACGCGAGAGGUGAAAUUCUUAGACCGUAGUAAGACUAACUAAAGCG
rnacentral:rRNA from 1 species